rnacentral:lncRNA from 1 species
UUUUAUUUCUUGUUGUUUAAGCCAGAAAAGAAAAAAGGGUAAGCAAGUCAAUAUUCUCUUUCACCGCUUUCUCAAACUCCCCGGAAAAACCUCUUCUAAACCUCCUUUCUAGAGUUCUCUCAUCAACACCGCCGGCGAUUGAGAUGGAGAUAGAUCCUCCGAUGCAAGCUUCCGAGCUCUCUCAGAUCAAAGACGAAGACCUCUUCAAAGCCGCCGAGACCGGCGAGUGUUCGGUCCUCAGCUCGCUCCCUCCGCCGCAGCUCACCAAAUCCCUCUCCCUCCGGAACGAUGACCGCCGCUCCCUCCUCCACGUCGCCUCUUCCUCCUCCUCCACGUCGCCUCUUCCUCCGGCCACCCCGAGGUACUCCGAUUCGUGAAUCGAUUUCCAAAUUUGUUAUGUUCGUUGCUAAUGCGAAACCAAAUUUGAUAAUUAUCAGGCGGUGAAGAUUCUGUUGGAGGUUGAAGGAUCUGAAAGCGUUGUGAACAGCACGGACGAGGAAGGUUGGGCGCCGCUGCACUCCGCCUCUAGCAUUGGAAGUGUUCCGAUCGUCG